ACCAAGUCAGAUCAGGAUGGAUUAGAAACAUGCCGGUCCAAUGAUAAGUCAUCAAUCCUCUCACUGACUUCAUCAAGUCAUAUCGAGGAUAAAGACAAGUCGAACUAGAGGCACCUAAAUCAGUCGAACUGAUUUUUUAGUAAGCAUGGGUCAACCCUAAUCAUUAAGCGAUCUGAUUAAAACUUGAUUCACCAUGUUGGCC
rnacentral:lncRNA from 1 species